CGCUUAUCAUAGAUAAUCAUUGAAGGCAAGUGGGUAGUUUGGUCAGUCACUCCUUUGGCUUCUUCUCCUUCAAGCUUCCACCAAUUUUGAUCAGAGCGUCGAUCCUUCCGGCAACACCUGCACGUGACGACAACUUCCACCGGCGUCUUCUUCAAUAGCUGCAUUCAUGACUUGCUACCUCUGCAAUGGCUGGUGACCCGUUCUGCAGGCGCCACUCGCCGGAGCGGACUCAAGUCUGAACAUCCUCACGAUUCCGGCGAUUUUCAACGGUUAUUUCUCUCCUUCGUUGAUUUUCGGUAAUGAUCUAUGCUCAAUGGACCUUUGAUUUACAUUUCCCCCUCCCUAACGACUUCGAAUCUACGGGUCUUUUUCGGUAAGAUUCAGUGAGUAAGAACGCUCUAAACUCCUUUCGAACUCUUCCAAGUGUUGUGGCUUAGAUUCUAACCCUUAGAACUUUUAUAUUUGUAGUAUUGGAUGGAUAACGGACUCAUUUGAACACUUUUCAGCAAGGAUUGUUGUCCGUUUUGUUUAAGUUGCAUGUUUAGAAUCAUUCAAGCUCGACAUGAUCAAUCUUGAUUCUUGUGGAGUGAUUCAAAUCUUCAACAAAUAUUCUUAUAUUGAGAUAUUCAAUCUAAAUUUAAGAAGACUGUAAAUUAUAACAAACAAACGAAAGUAUGAAGAGCCACUGCAAAAAAAAAUGAGUACAGUACAUGCCCAUUAUGAUUGAGCUUGUUUAGGCUAAAAAUGUAAAAACUGGUGAAGAGCCACUUCAGCUAUAUGUGGUUCCUGAACCUAUCUUUGUUGAUGCUGCCAUCUUUAUUUCGUAGAUCUAAUGACUCCUUACUACACAACUGCCAGAGCCUGCCUCAAGGAACAAAGAGAUGGCUACGGCUGCUGCACAGGAAAGACCCAGGUUUUGUGAAGUUCACUUGAAUGAUAGAACGAAGGCCAUGAAGGCGAAGCCGCAUGCCAGCCAAGGAAUCCAACUGAAAUUCUGAUGCUUCAGAAGAAGACUAGCCACGAUGCACGCACCAACAGCAGCUAGCAUAGCACCGAUCUUGCCGAACGAAAGCGCGACUCUUGGGAAGGCAGUUUGAAGAAAAAGCGCAGCAAGUGAAAGUGCCAAGCUAAUCAACAUAGCCGCUGCAAAGAGAUUUAUGAAAAGUGGAGGAAAUGAGGUGGGUCUGCUGAUGAACAGAGCCAGCACUGCCUGGAAAGUAAGCCCAAAAACUAUCUUCCCAAGAUUGUUGCGAGCCUGAGGCUCCCUGGGUAAGCCAUCUGAGGCUCCCUGGAUAGAAGAGAAUUGAUUCAUGUCGAUGGAAACAUGCUGUGGCAUUGUGAAAAGAGAAAGGAAAUCUCUCAAUAUCAAAAAUGGGUUAUGAUGACGACUUUGAGCCUUUUUUAGCUUGGAAAUUUUGCACAAAUUGUAUUAGGGGCAAAUUGUAUUAGGGACAAAUUGUAUUAGGGGUUGAUGAGUUGGCCAGUCCAAGUUCACUUGCCCAAGCUUACUCUUGGUCAGCACCACCACUUGCAACUUGAAAGGAAAAGGAAAAGAAAAAUGCUAAAUUAAAAUUUUAAUUUA